ACCGAGAUAAACUCCUGUAAGAGAUAGACGGGUAAUAAAAUUCCUCAAUUCCCUCAGCAUCAACAAAAUUGAACGUAUGCAGGGACAAUAUGUGGAUAUUGUGAAAUGAGAAGGUGAAAUAAAAACUGUUAAUUAUUACUAUAAAAGAAAAACCGAAGGAGAACUUUUAUUUUCACUGUAUUUUCUCCGUUUUUUUCUUCCAGGUCCGAUAAAAGCACCGCAUAAUACGUAUAACAAAAAAUCCAUAACAUUCGGGUAUGUACGUACGUACGUACGUACGUCUAGGGGUAUCUAUUUUUUGGCCGAAAGUCACGCGAUUUAUUUAUUCGAAAGGAAUUCGUUGCCCAUCGCUACCGCAUGCGUUUCCAUGAAAUAAGGAGUGUUCGUUUACUGUUAGUUGGGUAAAUACAGUAACAUCUUGGACGAUCAUAUAAAUGAAUGGAAAAUCUCACGAACAGAGAAAAUAUACGGAGUGGGCACGUGAAUACAUCGAGUCAUAUCUUAUGAUAUCUGCAGUUGUCGAAGAAUCGCAAGACAUGGAAAAAAGAUUCAUUCAAUUAUUUAUUCGUUUGUGUACCUUGUUGUUCGUUCAUUCGUCCAUGUGAUUAUUUGCUUCGAAUGAACGAACGUGAAGAAAAUCAAGACAUGGACGUGCAAUCUCAUGCGGACAUGUUUUUCAAAAGUAGGACGAAAGUGAACCUUUCCAGGUUACGCUGUAAUUAUGAUUCGUGAAUAUAAAACUGUCCCUCACUUGACUUUUCCGUGUCAUCGCCAUCUGUGUCCGCGACGAGUGGGAUUGGUAAAUUCACACCACUGAGGUAGGAAAGAAAGUUAAACGCGAUUACAACGCACAGAUGCGAAUAUGUGUUGCCCCGCUAAUAAGAAAGAGGAAAUGUGAAACAAUGGGAAUUUGUUACGUAUAUUUUCCGUUCGUAUUUGCGGUUCGCUGAUCGAAUGGUACCGAACGCAGUUGUGUUGCUUUUGCAGUUUUUCAUUGUAAUCGCUUUCGCAUGUUGACAUUGCGGUAAUAGGAACAUAACGGGGUUCGCAUACGAUACAAACUGCAACUAAGCGCAUUCCUCAUAUCGUGGCAAUGUAACUGAAGUAGUUUUGAAAUUAUUUUCAUUCAAAAAAUAGCGAAAAACGAUUGAAUAGUGUUUUUUUAAAUUGUACUCGAAAUC